AUUGAACGCUGGCGGCAGGCCUAACACAUGCAAGUCGAACGAGUGGCGGACGGGUGAGUAAUGUCUGGGAAACUGCCUGAUGGAGGGGGAUAACUACUGGAAACGGUAGCUAAUACCGCAUACCAUCGGAUGUGCCCAGAUGGGAUGAGCUAGUAGGUGGGGUAACGGCUCACCAAGGCGACGAUCCCUAGCUGGUCUGAGAGGAUGACCAGCCAACCUGGAACUUAGACACGGUCCAGGCUCCUACGGGAGGCAGCAGUGGGGAAUAUUGUACAAUGGGCGCAAGCCUGAUGCAGCCAUGCCGCGUGUAUGAAGAAGGCCUUCGGGUUGUAAAGUACUUUCAGCGGGGAGGCGUUACCCGCAGAAGAAGCACCGGCUAACUCCGUGACAGCAGCCGCGGUAAUUC
rnacentral:rRNA from 1 species